rnacentral:rRNA from 1 species
UACGAAGGGGGCUAGCGUUGUUCGGAAUCACUGGGCGUAAAGCGCACGUAGGCGGAUCUUUAAGUCAGGGGUGAAAUCCCGAGGCUCAACCUCGGAACUGCCUUUGAUACUGGGGAUCUCGAGUCCGGGAGAGGUGAGUGGAACUGCGAGUGUAGAGGUGAAAUUCGUAGAUAUCGAGAGGAAUACCUGUGGCGAAGGCGGCCAACUGGACGAGUACUGACGCUGAGACACGAAAGCGUGGGGAGCAAACAGG